rnacentral:rRNA from 1 species
CCMCUUYUNCGGAGGGCAGCVGGCGCGCAAAUUGCCCAAUGUCAAAAAAAAACGAUGAGGCAGCGAAAAGAAAUAGAGCCGGCAGUGCCACUGGCAUUGCCGUUUUCAAUGGGGGAUAUUUAAACCCAUCCAAAAUCGAGUAUCAAUUGGAGGACAAGUCUGGUGCCAGCACCCGCGGUAAUUCCAGCUCCAAAA